GCAAUUUAUACGGUGAACUGCGAAUGGCUCAUUAAAUCAGUUAUCGUUUAUUUGAUAGUACCUUACUACAUGGAUACCUGUGGUAAUUCUAGAGCUAAUACAUGCUGAAAACCUCGACUUCGGAAGGGGUGUAUUUAUUAGAUAAAAAACCAAUGCCCUUCGGGGCUCCUUGGUGAAUCAUAAUAACUUAACGAAUCGCAUGGCCUUGCGCCGGCGAUGGUUCAUUCAAAUUUCUGCCCUAUCAACUUUCGAUGGUAGGAUAGUGGCCUACCAUGGUGGCAACGGGUAACGGGGAAUUAGGGUUCGAUUCCGGAGAGGGAGCCUGAGAAACGGCUACCACAUCCAAGGAAGGCAGCAGGCGCGCAAAUUACCCAAUCCCGACACGGGGAGGUAGUGACAAUAAAUACUGAUACGGGGCUCUUUUGGGUCUCGUAAUUGGAAUGAGUACAAUCUAAAUCCCUUAACGAGGAACAAUUGGAGGGCAAGUCUGGUGCCAGCAGCCGCGGUAAUUCCAGCUCCAAUAGCGUAUAUUAAAGUUGUUGCAGUUAAAAAGCUCGUAGUUGAACCUUGGGUUCGGCCGGCCGGUCCGCCUCACCGCGAGUACUGUCCGGCCGUUCCUUUCCUUCUGGGGAAUCCC
rnacentral:rRNA from 1 species